rnacentral:rRNA from 1 species
AGCAGUAGCCGCGGGAAUACGUAGGGAGCGAGCGUUAAUCGGAAUUACUGGGCGUAAAGCGUGCGCAGGCGGUUAUAUAAGACAGAUGUGAAAUCCCCGGGCUCAACCUGGGACCUGCAUUUGUGACUGUAUAGCUAGAGUACGGUAGAGGGGGAUGGAAUUCCGCGUGUAGCAGUGAAAUGCGUAGAUAUGCGGAGGAACACCGAUGGCGAAGGCAAUCCCCUGGACCUGUACUGACGCUCAUGCACGAAAGCGUGGGGAGCAAACAGGAUUAGAUACCCCAGUAGUCCCUGUCUCUUAUAC